rnacentral:rRNA from 1 species
GACGAACGCUGGCGGCGUGCUUAACACAUGCAAGUCGAACGGAAAGGCCCUGCUUUUGUGGGUUGCUCGAGUGGCGAACGGGUGAGUAACACGUGAGUAACCUGCCCUUGACUUUGGGAUAACUUCAGGAAACUGGGGCUAAUACCGGAUAGGAGCUCCUGCUGCAUGGUGGGGGUUGGAAAGUUUCGGCGGUUGGGGAUGGACUCGCGGCUUAUCAGCUUGUUGGUGGGGUAGUGGCUUACCAAGGCUUUGACGGGUAGCCGGCCUGAGAGGGUGACCGGCAACAUUGGGACUGAGAUACGGACCAGACGCCUACGGGAGGCAGCAGUGGGGAAUAUUGCACAAUGGGCGGAAGCCUGAUGCAGAAACGCCGCGUGCGGGAUAACGGCCUUCGGGUUGUAAACCGCUUUCGCCUGUGACGAAGAGUGAGUGACGGUAAUGGGUAAAGAAGCACCGGCUAACUACGUG